UCAAAGUAAGUAAGUAUUGCUUAUGUUAAUAUUUAAGUUUUUUGUUAGUUAUCAUUGAAUCAUUUAUUUUAUAUAUUUUUUAGUGGUUGUGUAUUAUUCACUUGUUUACAUGCUGAGAGUUUUUUCCAAGGCAAAAAGACAUCACAUUAUCAUAUUUUGAAUCAACAUUAUUCCAGACGAGAUAAGCUGCCUUGCUUUGCAAUUAUGCCAUGAAAAAGAUAGAUGAUGAUGGUAUUAGUGAAAGCAAAGUCACUGGAAAGGUGACGAGCAAGUUUGGUGGUCCGAGC
rnacentral:lncRNA from 1 species